AUGGCCACUAGCAGUGUCUAUUAUGCUUAUCCUGUUAUUAUAUUUUAUCCUUUAUUCUGAGUUACUUUUUAUCUCAUGUGACUUUUAUUUUGACAUCAUGCUAUCUGCACGGUGAACCAAUCCUUCCAGAACGUGCACGCUCGCUGAAGGUAUAACACAAGAAGGCACGUUACAAGACAAUGCAUGUCUAGAGUCAGAGAUCUCAAAAUAGUAUUAUAACUUUAAAUUAACGUGUUCUCUAAAGCGUUCCUUGAAGUGUUAUAUUACGUUGCAGCAUUCCUGGUCAAACCCGUUUGAAUGAGUGCUCUAUUUGCUUGGCAGUAGCAGUUUAAAAAAUAACGUAUGAAGUUGCUAGCUAGCUCUCCAACGUUAAGUUAAUGGCGGCAGUCUUCCCUGGAUCACCACUCUUUAGCACCCCUCGAUAUGCGGAGCGAGUUUUCACGGUGUUUGUGCAAUGCACACUCGUCUGAAUAAAGUACACCCGUAAGGAAACA